rnacentral:rRNA from 1 species
GGUAACACUGAAUGGAGGACCGAACCGACUUACGUUGAAAAGUGAGCGGAUGAACUGAGGGUAGCGGAGAAAUUCCAAUCGAACCUGGAGAUAGCUGGUUCUCUCCGAAAUAGCUUUAGGGCUAGCCUCAAGUGAUGAUUAUUGGAGGUAGAGCACUGUUUGGACGAGGGGCCCCUCUCGGGUUACCGAAUUCAGACAAACUCCGAAUGCCAAUUAAUUUAACUUGGGAGUCAGAACAUGGGUGAUAAGGUCCGUGUUCGAAAGGGAAACAGCCCAGACCACCAGCUAAGGUCCCAAAAUAUAUGUUAAGUGGAAAAGGAUGUGGCGUUGCCCAGACAACUAGGAUGUUGGCUUAGAAGCAGCCAUCAUUUAAAGAGUGCGUAAUAGCUCACUAGUCGAGUGACACUGCGCCGAAAAUGUACCGGGGCUAAACAUAUUACCGAAGCUGUGGAUUGUCCUUUGGACAAUGGUAGGAGAGCGUUCUAAGGGCGUUGAAGCAUGAUCGUAAGGACAUGUGGAGCGCUUAGAAGUGAGAAUGCCGGUGUGAGUAGCGAAAGACGGGUGAGAAUCCCGUCCACCGAUUGACUAAGGUUUCCAGAGGAAGGCUCGUCCGCUCUGGGUUAGUCGGGUCCUAAGCUGAGGCCGACAGGCGUAGGCGAUGGAUAACAGGUUGAUAUUCCUGUACCACCUAUAAUCGUUUUAAUCGAUGGGGGGGACGCAGUAGGAUAGGCGAAGCGUGCGAUUGGAUUGCACGUCUAAGCAGUAAGGCUGAGUAUUAGGCAAAUCCGGUACUCGUUAAGGCUGAGCUGUGAUGGGGAGAAGACAUUGAGUCUUCGAGUCGUUGAUUUCACACUGCCGAGAAAAGCCUCUAGAUAGAAAAUAGGUGCCCGUACCGCAAACCGACACAGGUAGUCAAGAUGAGAAUUCUAAGGUGAGCGAGCGAACUCUCGUUAAGGAACUCGGCAAAAUGACCCCGUAACUUCGGGAGAAGGGGUGCUCUUUAGGGUUAACGCCCAGAAGAGCCGCAGUGAAUAGGCCCAAGCGACUGUUUAUCAAAAACACAGGUCUCUGCUAAACCGUAAGGUGAUGUAUAGGGGCUGACGCCUGCCCGGUGCUGGAAGGUUAAGAGGAGUGGUUAGCUUCUGCGAAGCUACGAAUCGAAGCCCCAGUAAACGGCGGCCGUAACUAUAACGGUCCUAAGGUAGCGAAAUUCCUUGUCGGGUAAGUUCCGACCCGCACGAAAGGCGUAACGAUUUGGGCACUGUCUCAACGAGAGACUCGGUGAAAUCAUAGUACCUGUGAAGAUGCAGGUUACCCGCGACAGGACGGAAAGACCCCGUGGAGCUUUACUGUAGCCUGAUAUUGAAAUUCGGCACAGCUUGUACAGGAUAGGUAGGAGCCUUUGAAACGUGAGCGCUAGCUUACGUGGAGGCGCUGGUGGGAUACUACCCUA